rnacentral:snoRNA from 1 species
CUCCUCCAGGUUCCUUAUCUAUCAGAUCUAACCACUGGUCUGAGUGGUUAUAAAAGGAAGGAAAGUAGAAUUGAAAUUGUCUUAAAUCUUUUCUUUUUAAGGUUUGAAAAGAAAGAGUAAGAUUAUGUAAGGG